rnacentral:rRNA from 1 species
CUUCCGCGUGGCUCGGCUCUUGCCGGUUAUUCACUGCCGACCGCCCCCGAGGAGUUCCCGGUCUCCGUCGGCUGCGCCGGCCAUGUCGCCGCCUGCAACACCUCGUUGCCUCUCCUUCUCCGUUCAUUCUUUUCCCAAGUCCAGCCGCAGCCGCCGCCGGAUCCGGUUGCCCUCGACCCAACGCAGGACGCCGCAGCCCCUACAAGUCCAGCCGCCGCCGGAUCCGGCUGAGUUUAGCUUUCUGGUCGGUGCAGCCACUAAAAAAGCAUUCUACACAAAAAAAUCCCCACCGAGAAGCUCUCAAUUGCGUUGCUCUUCUUCCACAUCUCCAUUCCUCUAGCACAGAGCUGCUCUUCUUCUUCUUCCCUCUAUCCAUCCAUCCAGCGAGCCCACGAACCCACAUU